AUAGAAGAAAACCUGACUGAGGCAUUCUUGAGUUCCUUUUUAGUCUGUAAACUAUAAUAUUCAUGAGACGCUUAACGCUUCCCAAAGUGGCAGGGAGGAAACUCUUUGUUUCUUGUGAUUCCACCGGAAGAGAGAGUGGACAGGACCCAGGACUUUACGGAGUAGAGUUAGUGAUUCAUCUCUUGUUUGUGAGAUAGAUAGGGCUUGAGUAGUGAGUAUCCCUUUGGGACAUUUUUUUGGGGGGAAGUGAGAGGGGCAGCAUGCUUCAUUUAUGCACACUGAUUGAGGUCACUGAAUAAUAGAUUAUAUGUUGCAAACAUUAUUAGGCACUAUAAGCCUUGUUAUGUCAGCUGCUAGAUAUCAUAGGUAUAUAUUUUACUGUAUUCAAUUCCAAUAUGUGUGUAUGACUAAUAUCUUCAUUAAUAGAUUUUCUUUUUUUUUUUUUUUUUGAGACAGAGUUUUGCUCUUGUUGCCCAGACUGGAGUGCAGUGGCAUGAUCUUGGCUCACCGAAACCUCUGCUUCCUGGGUGGGAAAGUGCAGUGUUGCCCUUCUGAAUGAGACAGAAUCAGUAUUGUCAUAUCUUGAUAAGGAGGAUACCUUCUUCUACUCAUUGGUCUAUGACCCCUCAUUGAAAACACUAUUAGCUGACAAAGGUGAAAUCAGAGUGGGGCCUAGAUAUCAAGCAGACAUUCCAGAAAUGCUGUUAGAAGG
rnacentral:sRNA from 1 species